CACGUAGGGCGCAAGCGUUGUCCGGAAUUAUUGGGCGUAAAGAGCUCGUAGGCGGUCUGUUGCGUCCGCUGUGAAAACUCGGGGCUUAACCCCGAGCCUGCAGUGGAUACGGGCAGACUAGAGGUAGGUAGGGGAGAAUGGAAUUCCCGGUGUAGCUGUGAAAUGCGCAGAUAUCGGGAGGAACACCGAUGGCGAAGGCAGGUCUCUGGGCUGACACUGACGCUCAUGCACGAAAGCGUGGGGAGCAAACAGG
rnacentral:rRNA from 1 species